UUCAAUUUCAGUUUCAGUGCGUUCUCUGCAUUUGGAGCACAAAAUUCCCUCUCCAGCAUAAACGUUUCCGUUUGAUGCGUUCGUUCGUUCAUUCGCUCGUUCGUUCGUUCGUUCGCUCGUUCGUUAUGUUUACCAGUUAAAUUUUAUUGUUCAAAAAAAGACAAAUCUAACUAAGGCGCCAACCAGAGACGUA